rnacentral:sRNA from 1 species
UAACUAAUUUCAACUUUCUACUGUUUCAUAUCUCAACAACUUUCUAAGAUAAAAGUUACCAAUUUUGUAUAGAUAAAAUGUUGACUGUUAGUUUUGUGACUUUUGUCUAAUUUACUGCAUUAUUUAUAAAGAUAGUUUUUCAAUAUUAGAAAAUAUCUGAUAAAAAUUUGUGGUUCCUACACUAUGCUGCAGUGAAUGGCGGUGGGGGCCAUGGCGUUGUGGGCCGGGCCACACCACCACACCCACAGUGCUAGCUUUACCACAAAUUAAUAAGUCAAGAAGAUCUUCAAAAAUAUUGACUUCUUUCAAAUAAAUUUAUAUGUAUCUUUUUCUAAUGUAUUCUGUACUGUGCAUGCAGUUCACCACUGUAUCGUUAGCCUGACCAUGUGAUAUGGCCCAAUUUUAACUUCUUUAGC